rnacentral:rRNA from 1 species
AGCAGCCGCCGCGGGAACACGGAGGGGGCUAGCGUUGUUCGGAAUCACUGGGCGUAAAGCGCACGUAGGCGGCUUUGCAAGUCAGAGGUGAAAGCCUGGAGCUCAACUCCAGAAUUGCCUUUAAGACUGCCGAGCUAGCAGGUGAGAGAGGUAAGUGGAAUUCCGAGUGUAGAGGUGAAAUUCGUAGAUAUUCGGAAGAACACCAGUGGCGAAGGCGGCUUACUGGCUCAUACUGGACGCUGAGGUGCGAAAGCGUGGGGAGCAAACAGGAUUAGAUACCCCUGUAGUCCCUGUCUCUUAUAC